AUGGAGGCUGCCUUUCAUGGUAGAAAGACUUAUGCUACUCAAAAUGUGAUGGCGGCUGUAGAUUUUGACCUUCGAUUCACAUAUGUUUUGGCCGGUUGGGAGGGGACAUCACAUGAUGCUCUAGUUUUACGUGAUGCUUUAGAACGUGAGAAUGGUCUAUGUGUCCCACAAGGAAAAUUUUAUCUAGUUGAUGUUGGAUAUGGAGCCAAACCGGGUUUUUUGCCUCCUUUUCGUGGUGUGAGGUAUCACUUGAAUGAGUGGGGAAACAACCCCGUGCAAUACGAGAAGGAGCUAUUCAACCUUAGGCAUUCUUCUCUUCAUGUGACCGUAGAACGUGCAUUUGGCUCAUUGAAGAGAAGAUUCAAGAUACUUGAUGAUGCCACCCCAUUCUUUCUAUUUCCAACACAAGUUGACAUUGUUGUGGCUUGUUGCAUUAUUCACAAUUGGGUUAUAAAUGAUGGGAUAGAUGAAUAUAUCAUACCCGAGGAUGAAUGGGUGCCAAAUAUUACUCAUGCUUCGUCAUCAAGUGGUCAAGCACAUGAACAUGCAUACAUGGCUAGUUUUAGGCAAGGACUUGCUGAUCAAAUAUGGGAAGACCGACAAAACCAUUUGCAAGGUCAAAAUAUGUAG
rnacentral:rRNA from 1 species